rnacentral:tRNA from 1 species
AAAUAAGAAGCAAAAUUUGCAUUUAGUUUCGACCUAAAAAUAUGGUUUUUAACCCUUAUUUA